UUAAAUCAGAAAUAAUUUAUUUGAUGGUGACCUACUACAUGGAUAACCGUAGUAAUUCUAGAGCUAAUACAUGCGCAUAAGCACAGCCUCCGGGCUGUUGCUGUAUUUAUUAGAUAAAAAACCAAACCCUUCGGGGCUUUGUGCUGAAUCAUAAUAACUGUUCGAAUCGCACGCUCACGCUGGCGAUAGUUCAUUCAAAUUUCUGCCCUAUCAGCUAUUGACGGUAGUGUAGUGGACUACCGUGGCAUUAACGGGUAACGGAGAAUUAGGGUUCGAUUCCGGAGAGGGAGCCUGAGAAACGGCUACCACAUCCAAGGAAGGCAGCAGGCGCGCAAAUUACCCAAUCCCGACACGGGGAGGUAGUGGACAAGAAAUAGCGGAUUCCGGGCCUUUUUAGGUCUGGUUAUUGCAAUGGACGUAUUGUAAAUGCCUACGUGAGUAUCCAUUGGAGGG
rnacentral:rRNA from 1 species